AGACACCCUGCAUCCACAGAUCCGUUCCAGAUUUGGGAGGUUUUCAGUUUGAAACAUCACAGAAAUUCAAGUCUGAAAGAGGAAGAAGGGGCUCUCAGGACGGAUCUAAAGGUGCUCUGACUCUGGGGGUCUGCAAAGAGCCGAUGCAUCCAGACUGUCUUUGGAAUGAGAAAGAGGCCGAACCGAGAGCAGAAAGGACAGGGUGUUGAGAGGGGAGUGGCUGUCCAGGCUGAGAUCUGCUGGAUGACAAUGUUAACAGACAGUAAGAGAGGCUGUCGGCUCUGGGCACACAGAAGCUGUAGCUGGCCUUGGUAAAGCCCUUUUCAGGCACCACUGAGUAGAGCAAACCUUUUUAUUCCUGUACACUGGAGAGGUCAGCAUCCGGCGUGAGGAGGGCAAAGAUUUUAAAGCUCAGAGGUUGGGACUGUCUGCUCUGAGGGAAGUCAGCCCUGUGACUCAAAAAUACACAAAGAACCCAUGGAGAGGCCAGUGAGAAGAGGCCUGGAUGGCUCGUUUACAGGGCUGGGAAGUUGUUCCUGGAAUCUGACGCCUCCUGUCAACCACUGCCACCAGCCUGGCUUUGUGUGAAUAGCCUGUUAGCGUCACGUCACCGUCACCGUCUUCAUCUCCAGCCCUAAGCUCUCAGGUGACCACAGGCAGCUAAUUCAGGGACUGCAGUCUCACCAGAGCUCCUAGGCCAGGCUGCCUAGCGAGGACGCUGAAACUGUGGAAUAAAUGUUCGUCAUUGUUU
rnacentral:sRNA from 1 species